rnacentral:rRNA from 1 species
GGGUACAAUCAUAUCAACACUAAAGCAUUAAAUUUAAUAAAAACUAUAUAGUUAAGCGUGAUUGGGAUGAGAGUAGUACUGAGAUGGGUGACUUUCUGAAAAGUUUUUGUGUUGCACCCA